rnacentral:lncRNA from 1 species
UGCCAUAUAGCCUUUCCAUACAUUUCUUCCAGAGUGGCCAGGGCAACCCUCCAGAGAGUGAAGGCAAAGGGCAGCCAAUGAAUGUUCCUCCCCUGGAGAGAGAAGUCCCAUAGGCUAAAGUCCCAUCUUUAAAGAUGAUUCACAAAUCACUCCUGUUUCCCAAUCUUAGAAGUAGGCACCAGGCCAGGCACGGUGGCUCACACCUCUAAUCCCAGCACUUUGGGAGGCCGAGGCGGGAGGAUUGCUUGCACCUAGGAGUUCAAGACCAGCCUGAGCAAUUUAGUGAAAUCUUAUCUCUAAAAAAUAAAGAUAAAAAUAAGCAAAUCCAGGCAUGGUGGUGCUUGACUGUGGUCCCAGCUACUCAGCAGGUGGAGGUGAGAGAAUUGCUUGAGCCCGGGAGGUCGAGGUUGAAGUGAGCUGUGUUUGCACCACUGCUGUGUUUGCCUGGGUGACACAACAACAAGACCUUGUCUCAAAAAAAAAAAAAAAAAAAGGAAAAAAGAAAUAGGCACCACAACCAAUCAGAGACCCAGAUGUCACACUCUCCCCUUUCUUUUACCAUCCAUGUCUAGGCCAUGAAUGAGUCCUGGCAAUUCUGUCUCCCUAAAUUAUCUCAAAUCUGACCACCUCUCUCCAUCUCUGUCACUGCCCUGGGCUCACAGCAUCCUCAUCGCGGCUCUGAACCUCUGCCGUGACUUCUACCUGGGCUGUUCCCUGAGCACGUGCAUUCUCCACAAGCCAGCACAAGUGUCCUCAGCAUGCCCAUGGAGAUCAAAUCACAUUGCUUCUUUUCUUAAAGUGCCAAGACUUUCCACCUCCCAUUGCAUCUGGAAUAAAACCUCCCGUUCACAC